ensembl:antisense Gm12500 predicted gene 12500
CUAGGAAGACAGGAAGAGUAGGAGGCUGGGUCUUGUCUGAGGUCGGUGGGAAAGACCCCAGCCUACUCUGACCUGUCGCUCUGCCUGUACACCCAAGAUCUGCUUCCUUGGACCCUUCUAGGAGCCGUUCACGUCCCCUAGGUCUUGCAGGCAUUGCCAAGACCCCCCACCCACUUAUCACCCGACCCAGGCACCUCUGCCUUGGAGUCCCUUUAUCAACCACACACGCGCCACACACUUACCUGAGGCCAUGCUGCCCAAGUCCCGCGUGGCACCAGGAAGGCAGCCUACGAAAGUCUGCACAGCGAGGGAGCCGGGCUGAAGAGCGGAGAGGGCCCCCACCGGGGCGAAGUCGCGCCACUGGCCCCUGCACCCGCACUGAGAAGCGGGAAGGAAGGCAAGGUUUUCAAAAUGGCCAGCUGGCCGGGGGGCGGACUCCCGCCGACUUCAGCGGCCAGACUGACCUCAGGAGACCCCGGAGUCGCGACCCCAAGCCUGCACUCAAGAGGAAACAGGCCACGUGCUCCCCAGAAAACCGGACCCGGAAUUCGCCUAGGGUUCUUUCACCACUUUCUGGGAAUCAAUUAGGGAUCCGGCUCCUGUGGCCGGGCUACAGGGGAGUCAAGCAACAGGUGCGACCCCGCCGAAACCUUCCGGGCUGCGCGCCAAUCUCGCGUACCCCAGGCCCCGCCAAGUCCGCGGCCACGCCCCGUUCGGCCACGCCUCUUGGCCUCCUGGCCACGCCCCAACCAUUUUCCCAGUUCCCUUACGCCACGUGGGCAGCCUCCGGACCAGGGUUGGCCUUGGCUUGGCCCUUUGGUCUUGGGCGAUUUCUGUGCGUCAGUUUCCUCAUCAGUAAGAUGGGAUGAGGCAAUGGAAACACCUCAUCCAAAGAAAGGAGUUACUGAGGACUGAAGGUAAAUCCCCUUUGCACAAUGUGUGGCACAAAGUCAGGUAGCUAUUAUUAGGGUCCCAGAAUCCAUUUCAAGCAGAAGCCCUGCCCUUGAAUUCUCCGCAUUCCCACCUGAAUCUAUUUCCUUCUAUCAGUCAUUGGUAGGCAGGAUGUGCCCUUCAAAGCCGGUUCACCAUCCCACAUUAAUUUCUAUGUUGACGUUAGACUAGCCAGAAUGCCUAGGUUCAAAUUCAGACAUCUCCACCUACUUUCUGACUGAUGGUGAACUUCUCUCUGGGUUUUACUGGUUAACUUUGGCUCUUACACCCGCUCUGAUGAAGAUAAAGGAGAUAAUUAUAAGUGCUUAGACUUGUGCCUGGCCUGUAAGUUACUUCCCAAUCAGUGUUCCUGGAAGAUUUCUUUGGCCUGGGAUCACUAUGGCCAGCUCACUGAUUUCUCCUUGUGGGUUAUGAGAAAUUGGGCUGUUUGAAUAGGGCCACAGACACCCUCUCAAACAAGGAUUCCUGCCUCCCAGGGGCAGCCUGUACCUACAGGAACCCUGAAAAGGAAAGUCCUCCCCUUUAUCAGCAGCAGUUGGUCCCUUCCCUCGCCUCUCCCCUGGGGGAGUCUUUGCCCCCUCACCCAGCUGCUCUGAAGUCUCUCCAGCUGCUUUCAGUCCCUCCUCUCCCCAACCCCAACUGGAACUCUGAGUCCUGAUCCCCGAUCUCUAUCUGCAUCUGAUGUGGCCUCUAGGGAGUCUCCUAUCCGCUAUACUAAAACAAACUUUAAAAACUAUUGCCUUAGGCUGGGGGUGUCAGCUCAGGGGCAGUAUCCCUCUGCCUUACAUGCGAAAGCAAACCCCAGAAUUGCAGAAAAAUGAUGAAAAUACAAAUUUUUAAAAAACCCUACAGGUGGCCUCCAUAAACUUGGGAGACCAGUGGGUUAUGGGAAUCCAGCUCACAGAGAAUCAGACUAAAAUAGAACAAGGAGAACCUUAUUCUUACACCGUUACGUUUAAAUAUCAAAACAGGAACCACUAAAAGCAUCGGAUACAGGUGAUGGUGUACUGAGCUGGGGCACGCAUUAUGUGGCUGUAAAUACUAAUAUAAUCUAAGAACCGUUUGGCAAAAUAAAAUCAAGUAUCGCUAU